AUGGAAGGGAACCCAAGACACAUCCAGAGGAGCUCCAUGAGAUGUGCGGGCUUGCCUAAGUCUGCACCAACAGUCCCUGGCAAGGCCGGAGGUCAGCGGGGCUGCCACCAGGCAGAAGGGGGCCCUCGCUGGCUGCCUGGGCGCCCACCUUGUGAAGCCCAGGCUCCAAGCGGCUUGACGCCCCCCUGGCCUUCGCCUGGCCUGCUUCACCAGCUCCAGGUACUCCUGCACCUUCCGCGGCGCAAAGGCCGCGGGGCCCGCGCUUCCACAGUUGCCACACGGCCCCGGGAGCGGGGAAGGACGGUUGGCGGGAAGCCUGGGUGCUGGGGUCUGGAAUUUGGGGCACAGCGGGAGGCCUCCCGAGGCCCUGGGCCCGACGCCGNNNNNNNNNNNNNNNNNNNNNNNNNNNNNNNNNNNNNNNNNNNNNNNNNNNNNNNNNNNNNNNNNNNNNNNNNNNNNNNNNNNNNGGCGGUCCGGGGCGGGGGGCGACGGCGAGGACGACGGGCCGGUGUGGAUCCCCAGCCCGGCCAGCCGCAGCUACCUGCUCAGCGUGAGGCCCGAGACCAGCUUAUCAAGCAACCGGUUGUCUCACCCCAGCUCUGGAAGGUGGGACACCUUAUGGUGGAUCUUCUGACGGUGGUGCCUGCCCUACAUGGUCCCCCCAGUCCCUUAAGUUCUUCUACCACCUCCUUCUCUCAUUCCCCUCUCCUUCAGCUCUCUCCACCACCGUGCGCAGGACUGUGCACUCUGUGAGGGCAGGGAACGCCUCGUUAGCAUAGUCCUGCACUCGCUUGUUCUCGGACUGUGCUUCAGAGGCAGGGCAGGACCUGAGCAGACCCACGGUCGGUUGGGGUGCACCCAUGGAAUGCCUGUCCUCUUGCCUCCCAAGCUGGGGACAGCUUUUUACUGCUGGCUGAGCUGACUUUUAUAAUCAAAGUGGGAACAUUUCCUGGCUCUCUCCCCCCACUUGGGCCUCAUCCAGACUCUGGUGGAUUUGGGGAGAGUUGCCUACAGUUUCUUUACACAGAGAAAGAUUCCUGAGUAGCCAGCUGGCCCCCCAAAUAGCUAACAAUGCCUACAAGCACGAUUAGGACCUACCAUAUACGUUCCCUUUGAUAUAAGAGAGCGCUGAGGAACCUUUGUUCUGGGUUGGUUCAGGGUCUGCAGGGGUGGAAGAGAAGGCAUCACAAACAAUUCUAAGUGGAGUGCUAAGUGCUAAAAGAGAAAGGACCUUCGGCGUUUAUUUAAAGCAAGGUAAAGAACCAAACCUGAGAGCAGAGUUAAGUUCCUUUGAACACCACGAAAGCCAGCGAUUCUGGUAUUCCUUAGAAACACACGAUGAGGCUGUGAUAUCCUUAUGAAGUCACAGAGUUGGAAAGCCUUGGAGGUGUCCGGGUGGGACCAGACCGUUUCCAGAUGUGUGGACUUCUGGCUUUCCAGGACCCUGGAAGCAGCUCAUUCACAGUCCGUCAGAGUGGUCUGGAGGAGGGGGACAGAAAGUGGGUGACAUGCAGUAGAUAACGUAUGCAGGACUCUCCCUGUCUCCCCUAAUGCACCCCAGACCCACCUCCCAGAGGGCUUUCGGCUAGCCAUGCCUUUGAACAGUCAUGUAUGAUUUUCCCAUGCAAGCAUUUUCUAUAAUGUAGCUUAGAACCCUAGUGUGGGAAGUUGGAGAAGAUGAGUGUUCUUUCCUGCUCAAAGUCAGUAACUAGCUGUGGCUGGAUUAUCUAGCAUGAGCACGGCCUCUGCACAUUUUCCUCGAAGCAGAAUUUCCCCCAUCUUCUCGCGGCAGUCCAUUUCCAGUAGCUUAUUUCCUUAGACUCAUCCAAGCAGCUCAUCCUUACGAGCCUAAGCUGAAUAUUGGCUCCCGGCUCGUGGUCAUGAGUAAGAUAGGGUUCAGGUUAUGGAGGGAGGACCGAAUGAGGGAUGUUUUGAAUUAGAUGCAACAUCACGGAAGUCCAAUUCCUCUUGGCCCAGCAGUUUCUUCUGGCAACUGGUGGCUGGGAGUUGGUAUGACCCAAAGUCAGAAAUUUGCUCUUAGUGCGAGACCAGCAAGAAACAUUUUCAUGUUCUCUUCCUGAGUGUCAGGGAGUUGAAGGACCCUCUAUUCCUGAGUCAGUGAGAGGAAAAGGACAAGCCGUGUAUGAGAGAGGAGUUCUAGAUGACAGUGUCACAGGGAGUGGCCUAGAAGCCUGGUUGCAGACCCAGUUCAAGUGUUCAGGUGUGUGAGAGUUUAGGGUCCCCUUUCUGGGCAGCCUUUGUCAGGGAGGGCUCCUGUCAAUGCCCCAAGGGCCCAGGCAUCUGCAUUCCUGUGGAGACACCACAGCUGGAGCCCUGUUGGUCCAGAAGUAUUCCCUGAUUCCAGACGCUCUUCCUGGGAUAGAACCUUUCUCCUCAAACUCAAGUCCAGAAUGACAUGCCCAGAAACGAUGAGCUGAAUGUGGAAGCUCUCGCCACAAAGCACAGGGUUGUAGCCCCUUGUUGCUGCACUCCCACAGAUCCUCCCCGGACCCCUGGUGGAGAGGGCUCGAGCAGACACGCAUUGCCUGGGUGCCCGCCCCUCCUCCGAGGCACGGAGAAAGGCAGACCCUCCUGCUUCUGUUCACUUCUCCCCUCACGGUGCUCACUGCUGCUCACGGUGGGCUGUGUGAGUAGGGAGGGGGAGGGCUGGGCACGGCUUGGGCACCAGACAGCCUGGCUGUGUGGUUACGCUUCACGCCUAGGGACGCAUUGUGUCUCUGCUGGCCCAUGAGAGGGUUUGGCAUGGUGGUUUGCUUCCUGUGCCCAGGAAGGAGAGGACUACAUGCUAAGCAGUGUCAGCGAGUCCGUGCUGGACUCAGUGAGGCUGCAAAUGCCCUUGAAUUCUGGGCAGUAGACUGUCACAAUGAACUCAGAGUCCUGGCUUUUGCAGGGAUGGAUCUAUGUAUGGUUUGGCAGUUGUGCUGGUUGGUCUUAGGCCUGGCGGCCGUGUAUUCACUUGAGCACGUGGUACCCAGGCACCCAAGAGCAGACUCUCUUUUCUGAUCCCCUACGAUUAGAGUCCACCUUUGGAUCUAGACCCCUGGCAUUGGCUGGCUCAUUCUUUGUCUACCAUGGUCUUAUGCUCAUAAAUUUGGGGGCUUUUCUUCUGAGCCCAGACAUUAGGAGUGGCACCUGAACUGUGUAUCCUUGAGAAUUGACUGGUUUUUCCCUCUUUGGCAUGAAUGGAAGCUCUGCUGUGCUGGGGUCUCUAUCUCUGAGGCUGGACCUAUCUGUAUGUGUGCCACCCCCAUGCACGAGCUUUCCUGGAGAUAAAUGGUAGAGAGUAAAGCAAGGGCCUCCAAUAAGGAUGGGAAGGGGACCCUAGGGCUGGUGGUUUGGCAUGCUGAGGAGCCUGGCCCAUGGUCAGAAGCCUGCCUAUUGUAAUGGGUCUGGAUCAGGAUUCCAUUCCGCCCCUCUGUACCAUCCCUGCCCCCAACCUGGCCGAGAGAUCUGACUCCCUUGAAGAAAGACUUGCUCAGGUACUGGA
rnacentral:lncRNA from 1 species